rnacentral:rRNA from 1 species
UGAGCCGAACGUCUCUCUCUUGAGAAGUUGUCAACUUGGUCAUCUAGAGGAAGUAAAGUCGUACAAGGUUUCCGUAGGUGAACCUGCGGAGGAUCAUUA